rnacentral:lncRNA from 1 species
CAGGAAUCCAAGGAUGAAAAUGGAAGAUGUGGCCUACUUCUGCAUCACGAGAUCAGAGAAUUACAGAUGUGACCCUCACUUACAGGAAGUUGAAUACCCAGUACAGUGAAGACAAACCUUCAGUAGUGAACGCUUCCCUUUGAUCGAUGGCCAGAGGUCAGGACUCUCCAGCAAUUCUGAUGAAUAACAAUGGGAGCUAAAAAGGACUAUAAGAAUCAACUCAAAAGAUCUUCACUUGAGACAUGAGUUAAUCUUCUUUGCAGGAGAUGCAGCAAUCCAGCCUCUAUUUGAAUAUCUCCAGUAAAGGCUCUUCAAUAAACUUGAUACAGCUGAAGAAAGAAUUGGUGAACUUGAAAAUAGGUCAACAGAGGCCGGGCGCAGUGGCUCACACCUGUAAUCCCAACACUUUAGGAGGCCAAGGUGAGUGGAUCGCUUGAGGUCAGGAGUUCGAGGCCAGCCAGGCCAACAUGGUGAAACCCCCAUCUCAGGCCAGGCAUGGUGGCUCAUGCCUGUAAUCCCAGCACUUUGGGAGGCCAAGGCAGGUGGAUCACAAGGUCAGGAGAUCAAGACCAUCCUGGCAAACACGGUGAAACCAUGUCUCUAGUAAAAAUACAAAAACAAAAUUAGCCGGGCGUGGUGGGGGGUGCCUGUAGUCCCAGCUACUCAAGAGGCUGAGGCAGGAGAAUGGCGUGAACCCAGGAGGGGGAGCCUGCAGUGAGCCUAGAUUGUGCCACUGCACUCCAGCUUGGGUGACAGAGCGAGACUCCAUCUCAAAAAAAAAAAAAAAAGAAGAAAAAAGGAAACCACGUUCUAUGAAAAAUUACAAAAAAAAAAAAAAAUAGCUAGAUGCAGUGGUGGACACCUAUAAUCUCAGCUACUCAGGAGGCUGAGGCAGAAGAAUCUCUUGAAACUGGGAGGCAGAGGCUGUGGUGAGCCAAGAUCAUGCCACUGCCCUCCAGCCUCAGUGACAGAGUGAGACUUCAUCUCAAAAAUUAAACAAAAGGAAGAAGGAAAUAGGUCAAUAGAAAUUACACAAAUCAAACACAAGGAGAAAAAAAGAGUUAAAAACAAUUUUUAAGCCAGAGUAUCCAAGAGAUAUGGUACAGUACCAAACUGUCUAACAUAUACAAAGUUGGAAUUUGAGAAGGAAGAGACAAGUAGUAGGAGAAAAAAAAAACCAAUACAGCAUCACAAAUAAGAAUUACAGCAGACUUCACAUCACAAACUACACAGUUGCUAAAUGAAGUGGUGUGACCUCUUUAAAGUGCUAAAUGGGAAAAAAGAAAAAAAUAACCUGUUAACCUGAAGACAUCAUUCAAAUAUUGAGAGAAAUAAGUAUUCUCUCAGACAAAUAAAAACUGAAGGAAUGCGUUGCCAACAAUAUACUCUAAACAAAUGUUAAUGAAAGUUUUUCAGGUAUAAGAAAUAUACUGUAAGUCAGAAACUUGGAUCUAUACAAAGAAAUGGAGAAUGUUAGAAAUGAAUUAAAUUAAGAUAAAUAUAUUGGGUUGAAUAGUGUUCCCCUAGCAUUAAUAUCUAACCAGAAUGUGAUAUUAUUUGGAAAUAGGGCCUUCGAAGGUGUAAUUAUUUAAGAUGAGAUUAUACUGGAUUAAGGUGGGGCCUAAACACAAUUAGUGGCAUCAUUAUAAGAAAAGGAGAGGACAAAUAAAGGCACACACAAAUGAGAGUGCCAUGCAAAAAUAGAGGCAAAGAUUGGAGUGAUGCAGCUACAAGCCAAGGAACAACAGGGAUUGUCAAGAACCACUAGCUGUUAGGAAGAGACACAAAGGUAUUCUUCCCUAGAGCCUUCAAACUGGGUUUUAAAAGGCAAUAUCCAACUAUAUACUGUCUAAAAGAAACCCACUGUAAAUACAAAGAGAGGGGAGAGUUGAAAGUAAAAGAAGAGAGAAAGAUAUACUAUGCAUAUGUUGCAUAGUAAAAGUGGACAAAGGAUAUAUUAAUUUUAGACAAAAUAGACUUCAGAAUGAAGGAAGAUCACCAGGGAUUAAAAGGAAUAUUGCACAAGGAUAAAUCACAUCUCCAAGAAGACAUUGUACCUGAAAAAGAACUUCAAAUUACAUGAGGCCAAACCUGACAGAUCUGAAAGGAAAAAUAGACAAAUGCACAAUUACAGUUGGAGACUGCAACACACCUUUCUCAUCAACAAUAAAUAUCAAGCAGAGCAUAUUCUUUGGCCAUAAUAGAAUAUUAGAAAGAUAUCUAGAAUAUUCCUAAAUAUUGGCUAUUAAACAAUACAUUUUAAAAUAACUUAUGAAGCAAAAAAGUCUCAAAGGAAAUUUUUAAGUAUUUUGAACUGAAUGAAAAUAAAAACAAUAAAUCAAAAAUUCUGAAAUACAGCUAAAGCAGGGUUUAGACAGAAAUAUACACCACUUAAUGUGUAUAUUACAAAAGCUUGUAUCUAUAAUCAUUAACCUAUACUUCUGCCUUAGAGAAAGAGUAUAUUAAACCCAAAUCAAAUAAAAGUAAAGAAACAAUAAAGAUGUGAGAAAAAAAUCAAUGAAAUUGAAACAGUAGAGAAAAAUCUGUGAAAAUAAACUAGUUCUUUAAAAAGAGCAAUAAGAUUGAUAAACAUCUAGGCAGGCUGACUAAGAAAAAAAGACAGAAGACACAAAUUAUAAAUAUCAGGAAUAAAACAAGAGCAAUCAAUACUGACCCUACAUUAUUCAACAUAGUGUUGGAAGUUCUGGCCAGGGCAAUCAGGCAGGAGAAGGAAAUAAAGGGUAUUCAAUUAGGAAAAAAGGAAGUCAAAUUGUCCCUGUUUGCAGAUGACAUGAUUGUAUAUCUAGAAAACCCCAUUGUCUCAGCCCAAAAUCUUCUUAAGCUGAUAAGCAAAUUCAGCAAAGUCUCAGGAUACAAAAUCAAUGUACAAAAAUCAUAAGCAUUC